CCACCUCCCUGCGGUGGGCGCGGGGGAAUUCUCUCUUCUCUUCUCUGGUCCUGCCAGCCGCUGGAUCCCUCCUGCAUCUUCCUGAGUGGCUUCUGCUUGGGGGUUGAACGUAAUUCAGCAGUGUGAGAAGAGGAAGACAACUUUACACAAGAGAAGGAAAUGGUCUAAACAAGAUAAGAGUCGGAGAACUCAAGGGGCUUCCAUAGCCUUGGAAACUCAUGACUGGUGCAUAGGGAGAUUACUGAUGCCUUAAACAGGAGUGUCAAUUUGUAAAGUCAACAACAGGAGUCACUGUGCACUUACUCCUCAUGUAGGAUCUCUAUCCUUAAUGUGCUGUACACUGAGGCUUAAUGCUAUAACGAGUACUCAAACAGUAUAUUUCACUUUGUGUUUCUAUGGGGGUGCAAACUGUUGAAAUCUUUACUUAAUGUACACUAAACUGAUCUUCUGUUAAAAAAAAAAAAAAAGAAAAGAAACUAUCAAUUCCCAACUUGACUCUCACUGGGAUUAAA